AGAACACUUAACUGUACGAGCAACUCCAACAUUCAGUUUUUGCCUUACAACCUUUGGAACGGGAUUGGCGAGCUGGUGUGAAGAGCAAGCCUCUCAUAAGGACGCUUGCAGCAUCGCUUUGGAUCCCACGUUACAUUUCGGGGUCAAAUACUGGCGAGUUACCAACGGCAGCCAAAGUGUUUUU
rnacentral:other from 1 species